CAGUUAUAAAGUAGCAACAAAGAUAAUAUAUAGUCAGGGGGGGUCACCACGAUAGGAGAAACCAUAUUCACGAAUGACAGCAUUAGGAAGGUUGAAAAGCACUGGUUUAUAUGACCAUGUUAUGAACAUGUAAACGAACCAUUUUCUCCUAACAGCAACUUAAAGAGUUUUAGCACUAACUCUAACACCAUCUCCAGGGUAUUUUCGUGGCCCUCAAUGUUUUAAAUAUUACCCAAUCCUCAUAACUUUAUGUAAGUAAAUAUAAAAUGUGCUUAUAAGGUUCUAUGUUGAAACCUUGUUUGAAAGCUGGUGCUGCUGCUGGAUUAAACCAUGAAUGGUCUGACAUCACCAAUGUAGGAAUGGAUUCAUUGAUGAAGGGCUCGUAGAAGGUGGGGCCAACUGAAGAAAUUCCAACAUUGAGAAGAAGAUUCAAAUUCAGAAAUAAAUGAGAUAUAUAUCCUAGUGCAUUUGAAGAAAAAGUACUUGAAGAAAAGGAGCUGUAUCAUGACUGAGUAUGAUGCUGUAUACCUGCACUUCCAACUGUCCAGAGUCAGGAGGGUAAUUGCAAGUUGGAGGCCAGGCUGAUCUAUAUAGCAAGUUUGAGGACACAUGACAAGAAGGUUGACUUUCUCCUAACAAACAAACAAAACAAAACAAAACCGACCAAUUAACCAACCACCGCCACCAACAACAACAAAAAGGAAAACCCAAAAUAAGAAUCUACAGUAAAGAUUUACCAAG